AUCGCUUCUUGGCCUUUAGGCUAAAAUCAAGUGUAGUAUCUGUUCUUAUCAGUUUAAAAUGACUGCCAAAUUUUUGUCUGUUCCAUGCGUAGUGAUGCAUACACAACAUUUUUAAGUUUUUUGUUUUUAAGGCAAAAACAUCAAUAAAUGUCUUCUGGACCAUUUUGAAUGUGAAAUUCUUCCCCUUAAAAUAGCAACAAUCAAAAACCU
ensembl:snRNA U2 U2 spliceosomal RNA